CGCACACCACUCUCCUCGCAGAAAGAAAAUCCUAUUUUUCUAACUUCCCACUCUCUCCAACAACGCUCUCUUUCUCUCUUCUUUUCUUAUUUCCAUUUCCAUUUCUCAUUCCUAAAACACACAAUCAACAACACUUCAACAACACUUUGCAGUAAAACUCUUGUUCUUCCAAACACAUUCUUCAUAAUCAUAAAUCAUCAUAAUAAUUUCACAAAAUCAUCAUCAUCAUCAUCAUCACUGUUACGUUGUUUAAGACCGUUAUCGAAACUGAAAGAGCUUGUGAAGCGGUUAUAUCUUCUGCUUGCCGUAAAGGACACUGAUGCUAAUGUUCCAAAAAAUCUAGAAGCCAGGGCAAAACCUGUUAGUGAAACAUUACCAUUCAGGUAUGAGUGCACAUGCAUAUACUUAUACUUUAUUGUGUUAAUUCUAUCUCUCUUAAUAUUUAACAUUUGUUGAUUGUGUUUUAUUUGUCAGUGUUUUCACUCCAUACUAUAGUGAAACUGUGCUUUAUAGUACAUCUGAAUUGAAAUAGGAGAAUGAAGAUGGAAUUUCUAUUCUAUUCUAUCUUCAAAAGAUAUUUCCAGGUAAUGUUUCUUUUCUCUUUGAUUCCCCCCUUUGAACAUGCAAUGUCAGAGUUCUUAGAGUUCUCGGUACUCAAUGUAUCAGAGUAUAUAUAUGAUGUAAAAUUGAAAGUUUUGCUUACUUUCUGUACUGGCAGUUAGGUCAGUUGAAACAGUUAGUGUUGGUUGAAUUUCCUGUUAUUUUCGUUUGCAUUGUAUAAAUACUAUAAUCUGUAUCAUAGAAAGAAUCAACAAUACAAUCAUUUCAUUCCUCAUAGAAUUGGACUUUUUCUUUUCUCGAAGAACAACACUAAUACAAUGUUAUGUUUCUAAAAUAUUGACUGAAUGCAGGCUGUUUCCGUCCUUGUUAGAGUUGUAUUUACUUUUGAUUCUUGAAAGAUUUAUCCAUUAAUCGUUAUGUCUUAUAACUUCAUUAUUACCCUAUCGUGUUCCCCUUUCCCAUUCUUAGUCAAUUUUGGAGCAAAAAAAAAAAUGCAGCAGGGGAAGUAAAUUUUUCUUGCCAAUUUUCUGUCAAGAGGGAACUGUUUGAAAAAUUAUAGCUCUUAGUGGAUAGGAGGCGUACAUGGAAUGAUUUUUGUUACGACGAACCUUGCUAUUUUGGGAUUGAAAUUCAAUUAUUUUACAUUGCAGAUGAGUGGGUCCAUUUUCUUGAAAGAAUUGGUCGAGAUUCGUCUACUGAGGAUGCAGAACUUCAAGAAAAUUCUAGUGAUGCUUUGGAACUUCGCUUUUGGGCAUCUUAUCAAGGGCAGACUCUGGCUAGAACAGUGCGUGGUAUGAUGUAUUACAGGAGGGCUUUGAUGCUGCAGAGCUUUCUGGAGAGCAGAUCACCGGGUGGUAGUUAAAUAAAAACAUUAUUCUAAUUAAGCUUGGCAUGUAUAUUUGCUGACAUCGGCUGUAUUAACAGUGGACAAGUAUUCUCAGAACAACUUCAUUACAAUUAUACAUAGGAACAUAAAGAAGAUGAUAAACGUAGUGAUUAAUGGAAACGUUAUAAUUGAAGGUUUAUCCAUUACACCACCACAGUUGAUAUGUAAUUGUUUUAUUCUGAUUUUUAUUAUCUGUUUCUUGAAGAAUCUUGGAAGCACCGAUUAUUUCUUCCCUGCUUGUAAAGUGAAGUUUAAUUUUGAAUUAUCAGAUUCUGAUAAACCAAGAAAGUUUUAUAGACAUGGUUCAUGUUUUUUCUCCACAUCCCCUAUUUGUAUCCUAAGAGUCAACCAUGUCUGCCAUUUUAACACAUUUCUUUAGGUUUUUGAAUAAACAUAAUUUUGUUUUGCUUCUUGUAGUUUGUAUUUUUGACUAUAUUGGAGGUUUUUGUAUGGAUGCAACAAAAACAAUGGGCAGGUAGUACUUCAAAAGAAGGUCAUUGUUCUCUGCAAUGGUGUGGAAGGAAUAUAUUUUCCAAGCCUUGACUUGAUGUGCUAUAUGUAUGUAGAUGGGUUGAAGAUUGGGACUACAACAAAAUUAUAAUCUGUGUCAGACCACAUUGGGUCACUCAUUCCUGGAAUUGAAAAGGCAUUAAAUGACAAAUCAUCUACCUCAAUUUUGAAGCCCUGAUAUUCUUGUUCGUUAUGAUCGUACUCUUCUUGUUGCUGAUCAUAGACGCUGUGAGCCUAAGAAGUUUGGUGGUCGUGGUACUCGUGCUAGGUUCCAGAAAUCUUACCUUUAAAUUGUUUUUGGUAUUAUUCAGAUGUUAUUGUGUUUAUGUUUUUCAAUUACUCUUUAAAAUUUCUAUGCACUGUUUAAAUUGAAGGUUUGGUGGUUUUGAAAAUAAAAAUAAAAAUGAAAUGAUGAAACGGCUGAGCAGAGAGAUUUUUUCAAUACUCUCUUUCAUUCAUUCUUCUCAUCAUGCUGCAUCUACAUGUCUACUUGAAUUGUUACUAAUUUGAAAUACUGUAUUUCAUAUCGAGAUUUAGGUCACUUGUUCUCUGAUAAAUUUUGAACUCACUGGAUUUUAUAAUAUCAGCAUAACUGACCUUUGUUUAGUUUACUGUGCUGGGUUAUACAGUGAUCAUAUUAUGAUAAUUCCAACUUCCAUUGCAAUUGUGGUGAUCCCGAAUCUCUGUUCAUUCCUGGUGAGUUAAUUGAAGUUACUACUUGCAACCAUUCAUUGAUACAAGGAAAUAGUCUUUCUGGUAUAUAAUAUAUAAGGAAAUAGUCUUUCUGGUAUAUAAUAAGAGUCUGUUUGGAUAGACUUAAUUGAACUUAUCUACUAGCAUAAACACUUGUAAGUCUGUUUGAGACAGUUUAAAGAAACAUUUUCAUUGCUUUCAUGAUAAUGAUAUCAAUACACUAUAGCAUAUUUAAGCAUGUAGGUACUCUUCUGUUAUAUUUUUUCUUAUGCACAAAAAUAAUUUGGCAACAUAUAAAAUUGUUACUAUAAAUUAAGAAGAUACUAACUUCUUUCCUUCCUUUUUAUUAUUCUAUUGGGGACAAAAUCUGACUUUGUUGUAUGAUCGAGUCCUAAAAUACCCCGAUCAUGUCUGAUAUUUGUAUUUCACUUUUCUCUUUGUCCAGCGAGCAGUAACCAAAGUGAGUAUAAUUUGCCCUGAUUUUAAUUGAUUGAUCUUGAUAUAUAUUUAGAACUUUCAGUUAAGAAGUGUUCAUGAUGCAAUCUAUGUUUCACUUUAGGCUGCAGAUUAUCUCGAGCAGGCUGAGUACAUUUUUAGGAGUGAAAGAGAAGCAUAAUAAAGCUGCACCAGGCUGUGACACCUGGAAAUUGGAAACACGAUUAUUAAUGGAAAAGGAGUAAAUUACUUAUUUUUAAGCCAAAAAAUAGUUGCGCACUCAUGCAGACGACUUCUUCAGAAUCAAAAUAUAUUAGGGUCUGGGAGGUGGCUCGUAUGAUUCUCAUAUGAUUCAAGCAGAGUCUGAUGCACAAAAGAGGGAUGAAUAUAUUUAGCGUUUGAUGCAGCUCCCAAAUCAGAAAUGGAUGGAAAUUAUAGGUCAGGCACAUAAAAAAGUUGAGUUUUUGAUGGAUCAAGAUGUAAUAGGAUGGUGCUUAAUGUAUUACAGUUAUAGUUUGUCAUUUUUUAUGUAAUUCUGUUAUUCUACUGGAUGUUCCAUUAUUUCGGCACUAGGUGAUGUUAUUUCUCCCCUUGCUUCCAAAGCAGCCCACAUUCCUUACAUUUGAUUUUCUUUUCGACUAUAGAACACAUUCUUGCAGAAUGAUAUCUCAUUAAUAUUUGUAUCUUCUGUAUUCCCUGAAUUUUGCCACAUGUGUUCGUGGAAUUGAGAGUGGCCCAGCUCGCAAACAAGUAGACCUCAGUGAGCUGUUUAAGUACAAACAAAUGGCAGAAAAGGCCAAACACGACGAGAAGGAAACAAAGAAGUUACAUGAUAGCCUUCAAGUAGUCAAAAGGGCUGAAAAGUUUUUCUGGUCUAAAGAGGAAGUUAGCUGAUGAAGUAGGAAAAUGCAAAUGUCUAAAGGCUGAAAAGUUUUACUGGUCUAAAGAGGAAGUUAGCUGAUGAAGUAGGAAAAUGCAAAGGUCUAAAGUCAGUGCUAUACAUAUUAAUUGUGUCAGAUAAGAGAAGCUACUCUUUUUGCCUUGUCCUCUCUUUCAGAACAACUGCUUGAGAAACAUGAGUCAGGGUUUCGGACAAGUAACUUAAAGAACAUGAUUGAACAGAUUGUUGCCGAGGACUUUCUAAUAGAUUCUCUUGAAUACCCCUUUCUAUAUGCUCGUAUCUUUACUACAGUUGCCAAAUUCUCCUCUGUGCAAUCAAGUACUAGAGCACUCUCUUGAUGCUGCACUGAAGGCAAUUACAAUGAAUGUGCCUCCACCUGUAAAAGUAGGUGCCUGCAGGGCAUUUGCUCAACUUCUACCUAAAGCAAAGAAAGUAAUUGUCCAACCACAGUUAUUCGGUUUAUUUUCAUCCCUCACGGAGCUUCUUAAUCAUGCAUCAUAUGGUUUCCUUGCAUACGGGACUUGAAACGUUGCAAGAAGCAGUAAAGGCAGGUUAGGAAUAUCUUUCUCUGGUGUGUUUGUGUGUGUGUGUGUGUGUGUAUUUCUGGUCUAGUUAUACUUCCACACAUAUAUGUUAAUGUUAAAUAUUUCUAUAGAAAUUACUAAUUUACUCUUCUAUCCCCACACAAUUGACUUUAUUUUAUUUUUUUUCUUUUUUGUGAUACAAAUAACUGUUUGGUUCAAAUGCUCACUGAGAAAUUUCGCAUUUUCAUUCAAUAACCAAGAGGCUGUUUUUUCUCAAACUAAACCUAUUGUUAAUCAGUAAAGGAUGGUUUUAAUGUCUGUAUAUUUGCUUAUGGGCAAACUGGAACUAGUAAAACAUUUACAAUGGAGGGAACACCAGAAGAGAGGGGAUUUAAUUACCGAACACUUGAAGAAUUGUUUAGGAUAUCCGAAGAGAGAAAGGGUGUAAUGAAGUAUGACUUACAUGUUAGUAUGUUGGAGGUUUACAAUGAGAAGAUAAGAGAUCUUCUAGUGGAAAACUCUACCCAGCCUACUAAGAAAUUAGCUGAAGCACUUGAUAUGCAGCCUCCUGUAAUUCUGGAGGAUGGCCACACAACAAGGGUAACUAGUGGUGAGGAGGCUGUUUCUUCUGCUGCUGGGUAAGAUUCUGUUGUUGAACCCAUAUGGGAUGAUGAAGACACAAGGGCUUUUAAUGAAUGUUUACCGGAUCUUAGAGCUUUUGUUCCUGCUGUGCUUUUGAGCAACCUGUGAAGGGUCAAGACCAUAUAAGUUCAUAUAGCUGCUGAUUACCUAGUUGACGAAGCUACAAAUAUGUAUGGAACAGCUGAAAGAUCGGGAAGCUGCACAAACAAAGUUUGACCCUUCUCUCUAGCUUUGCUUGGCAAGGAAGAAUUUUUCUAGCACUUUCUGUUACUGGACCAGAAAUCAUGAUGAGCAGAUUAUAUAGGUUUGCCAUGCCGCAUAGCUCGAGGUUGCAGGUACUGUGCUUUCGGAUCAUCAAUCAUCUAUCCUUGUGAAGAUUAAAGAUGACAUGCAUCUGUCAAGCCCAUCACACCAUUGGCUGACGUUGACAGAAAUCUGGCCCAACUAUUUUAACCCCAUGCUUUCAUCAAGGUUAUCAUCUAUAGUUGAGGGUUUAGCAAUUAUUGCUUUCAAUGAUGGAAAAUUUAAUGCCAAGACCUUGUGAGAGGUUCUUAGUCUUGGACCUUGUGAGAGGUUCUUAGUCUUGGACCACACAUAUAGGCACACAAGAACAUAUAGGCAUAUAAGUCAAGAAGAAUUUCAUAUGUGGAUAAUCACAAUGCUUUGACAAUUGUUAGCAUAUGGUCUCCAGUGGUUUUCGUAAGUGCAUCACUGUUUUGCCUUUUCACCCCCUUGUAAGCUUUAGUUCUACUUUUCUGGGCUCUUCUCUGAAGUAGCUGAGACCCUAUUUACUAUGCGAAAAGUGAAAGCAUUUUCUAAAAUUUGGGUAGAAAAUGUUAUCAUAAAGUCAACGGGGCCUUAAAUUUUCUAUUUCAAAAGAAACAUUUUCAUUGCUUUCAUGAUAAUGAUAUCAAUACAGUAUAACAUAUUUAAGCUUGUAGGUACUCUUCUGUUAUAUAUUUUUUCUUAUAUACACAAAAAUAAAUUGGCAACAUAUAAAUUGUUACUCUAAUGCAAAGCAUAAAUUAAGAAGAUGCUAACUUCUUUCCUUCCUUUUUAUUAUUCCGGUGGGGCCAAAAUCUGACUUUGUUGUAUGAUCGAGUCCAAAAAUACUCCGAUCGUGUCAGAAAUUUGUAUUUCACUUUUUCUCUUUGUCCUGCGAGCUGUAACCAAAGCUGCAGAUUAUCUCGAGCAGGCUGAGUACAAUACAAGUAAUCCUAAUGCGGACCUUAAAACAGAAUCCUUGAUAAAACAGCUUCUUUACAACCCCAAGUUCCAUUUCCUGUUCCAUUUGAUGAAGCUAAGUUGUGGAAAGGCCAAAGUGGACCUGACCUCAAACGAAAAAUUCAACAUCAAUUCAGAAACAUCAUGUAUUAACUAAAAGUUAUGGAAGACGUAGCUCUCACCUUAACUAAAUAGUAUCAUUUAUUCACUAGCAGAUCUACACACAAAAAACUGCCACAUAUCUUUUCUACCUUUUCAUUUAAAUGAAUCUUUCUAGCUAAAUUAUUAAAUAUUAUUGUCUGAUUUUCGUUUUCUUUUUUUCUAAUAGGGCUCUGCAAAGAAUUUGCCUAGAUCAUGCACUUCAAGGCCCAGUCCAAGGCUGUGAUUUUUCCCUCAAUAUGUUGUAUCACAAAUCACCACACCAAUCUUCUUUGUAAACGCGACAUAUGACUCAUGGCAGGUGUUGCUGAUCCUCAAGGGUACUGGCAAUCUGGCAUAGCUGCAAGCUAGAUAUAAACAACUGCUCUUUGAAUCAACUUUAUCUAAUGCAAGGCUUUAGAACACAAUUUCUAAGAGCAAUGAGUGCAGCUUCAAUUUCACGAGUAUUUGACAAGAUCGACAAGAUUCGUUGCGUGUGACCGACUAGAUGAUUCUUUGUGGAAUUACUUCCCGAGUCCUUUUUUGUGGUUGACAUAGAGAGCUGCAACGGGAAUUAAACGCAUUAAUAACAAAAUACUCUAGUGGCAAGCUUUUGAUACAAAGGGCUAGUAUGUGGUUGCAGAGUAAGCUUUUAAUGGAAUUGUAGCAUAUGUCAUGGCAAUAGCAAAUAGUAAAUCAGCGUCCUUCUGUUCUGGAUACACAAUGUACUGCUCAUUAUUCCAAACUGAAGCUAAAAAUUUAUUGGUUAUUCAUAAUAAUGAAACUCACAUGUUGUCGGUCAUCAUAAAGAUUUUUGGUCUUCAGAGGAUUAUACCUUCAAGUAGUUGAAAGUUUGAGGCAGUUUGGGCUUUGACAAAUAUCGCUUCUGGAACGUCUGAAAACACUAAGUUGGUAAUUGACCAUGGGGCUGUCCCAAUUUUUGUGAAGCUCCUUGCUUCUUCUAGUGAUGAUGUUCGUGAACACCGGCAGUGUGGGCUUUAGGAAAUGUUGCUGGGGAUUCUCCCAGAUGCAGUGAUCUUGUUCUCGGUCAUGGAGCCUUGGUUCCUCUUUUGGCACAAUUGAAUGAACUUGCCAAGCUUUCUAUGAUGAGAAAUGCUACCUGGACGCUUUCAAACUUCUGCAGGGGAAAGCCACCGCCUCCUUUUGAUCAGGUAUAAAAACAUGAAUUGCUUAUUCUCUAUGAAUCAAAUAACCGAGUCCUUGCAAUUUUUUUCUACCCGUUACUUUUCUACCCGUAACUUGAGUGGUAGUAAUUGUUUAAAUUUACAUGCUGUAACAACCAAAAUGAAGAGUAUGUUCAGUUGCUUACUGUAACAACCCAAGCCAUGACUCAAUAAAGUAGUAAGAUUAAAUGGGUUUAUUGCAUAAAAUGAGGUGAUGCAAUAUAUGGAUUAAGUGAGAUAUGGAAGGUUAGUAAAUAUGGGAAACUUGGAAAUGGUAUCCUUGUAAUUAAGUGCACAUGUGGUCCUUAUAAAUAUGACUAUUAGUAGUGAAAGAGACUAAAAAGUCAGACCUCUUCCUUUCUCUUCCUCACCUGAUGCUCCUUCUCUCUCUACCUUAAAACCAAAAGGAAGCAAUCACUAAAGUAUGGUGAAGUAGGUGCAUUGAUGAUGUAUUUCAAACAAGAAAGUGAAAAUCCCUCGUUCUUUUAUGACUUUCAAAUGGAUGUGGACGAGCUAAUAACUAAUAUAUUUUGGGCGGAUGCACCAAUGAUAAAUGAUUAUAGGUACUUUGGUGAAGUCAUAACAUUUGAUACCACAUACAAGACAAAUAAGGAUUGUCGGCCAUUAGGAGUAUUUGUUGGACUUAAUAAUCACAGGCAAACAGUCAUUUUUGGGGCAACAUUGUUAUAUGAUGAAACAAUACCUUCUUUUCAGUGGUUAUUUGAAACCUUCCUCAAAGCGGUGGGUGGAGCAAAGCCUAAAACCAUGCUAACUGAUCAAGAUCCUGCUAUGGCUAGGGCACUUUCUAUAGUUAUGCCGGAAACAUUUCAUGGAUUGUGGACUUGGCAUAUAAGACAGAACUCUUUGAGGCAUGUGAAUCAUUUAUAUCAACAGAGUUCACGAUUUCGUGGGGAUUUUGAAGCAUGCAUAGAUCUACACGAAGAGGAGGGUGAAUUUCUUAAUGCUUGGAAUUCUUUGCUUGUUGAGCAUAAAGUCUCGGAACAUUCGUGGUUGCAUACAAUUUUUCAAUUCAAGGAAAAAUGGGCAUGGGCUUAUGUUAGGAAAACAUUCACUGCAGGUAUGAGAUCUACUCAAUUAAGUGAAAGCUUUAAUGCUGAUUUAAAAAACCAUUUGAAGUCAGAUUUAAAUUUGGUACAAUUUUUUACACACUUCAAAAGGGCUGUCAAUUGUAAACGAAACAAUGAGGCAGAAGCUGAGUAUGAUUCAAAACAUAAGCUGCCUAAAUUAAAAAUGAAAAAGGCUCGUAUGCUCAUACAAGCCGGAGAUGUUUACACUCCAAGAAUUUUUAAGGAAUUCCAAGAGAAAUAUGAAGAAUAUAAAAACACUUGCAUAAAGGAAUUGGAAGGAGGUUUGUAUGCUGUCACAAAUUAUGAUAAUCCAAAGGAAAGGAUAGUAAUGGGAAAUCCUAUGAGCAAAAAGUAUCCCUGUGAUUGUCGAACAGGGAGAGCUCUUGUAACAACCCCAUUCUUAUUCUACUAGUAAUAUCAAUUAAGAAAAACCAAAUGAGUGUUAACUGACAAACUUAGUAUUGGAAGUGGUCCACUAUAUAUUGCUUUAUGACAAACACCACUCUUAUAACUCCUCCCACACAUGCUUUGUGAGCAAAAAGAUCCUCUCUUCCCUUCAUAACUCUCUCACGUGACUCUCCCUCUCUACCACUUAUCACCCACCUUCCUUUUUAACCAAUAACAACACAUGAAUUAAAGGGAAAACAUAAAGCAAGUGAAUAACUUCCCUCUUUCAUUCUCUCCAUCACGUGUAACAACAACACACUCCAAAGCUCACCUCCCUCUUAACCAUUCCCUUUACAUGUAAACAAGUUAGAAUCUGAACGAUGUUUUUCCUCUCCUUCCUAUCCCUCGUGUUCUGUUCUUCAAUCAACAAUAACACCAGUUUCAAUUCACCGAAAUCUUACCCAUUCACAAUACAUGCAGAAUCAGAAUUUGUAGUUUCACCCUGUCAUUUUCUUCUCAAAAUUGUGUAUAAAUACCCACUUAAGCAACACAAUCAGAAUCAUUCAAACCACAACUCAUCUUAGAGAAAUUCUAUUCACCCUUUCAAGAACUCAAGUUGUAGAGCAAAGGAGUUAAGGAAGGAAACAGUAGCAGUAGCAGUAGCAGAGCUUCAAUAGCAGAUUCAAAGCUCAAUCUCAGAUAAGCAGGUGGCAUAAGCUAGAUUAAUAUGUCGGGAAAUCAGAGGGGUCGUGGUGGAGGAAGGACUAGGAGGAAUGCCCAAGAAGAGCCAGAAGGGUUUGCAGAAGCAUUCGCCGGAGAUCCUAAUGCGAAUAUGUGGGCGCACAUGAUGCACCAACAUCAGCAAUUCCAAGCACAACAAGCUCAGCAGCAUCAGGAGAUGAUGAUGAUGUUUCAACAACAAAUGAACAAUCAGCAGAAUCAGAAUAUGGGAGGAAAUGCUGCUUUCAGAGAAUUCUGCAGAAUGAAUCCUCCUGAAUUUGUGGGAGAGUAUGUUCCAGCUAAGGCUAGAGAAUGGAUCCAACGGAUGGGUGACAUACUUGACUCUAUGGAGUGCUCGGAAGCUGAUAACGUGAAUUUUGCCACUCGAUUCUUUCGUGGCAAUGCUUGCCAUUGGUGGGAGGGAAACAAAGCCUAUAUGGUGUCAAGUCAAAUUGAGAUGAAUUGGACGAAUUUCAAACGUCUCUUCAUUUCUCAUUACAUUCCUGAAAGUUACCAGUUCCAAAUGGAGCGCGAAUUGACUGAGCUAAAGCAGGGUAACAUGACUGUGACUGAUUAUACUAUGAGAUUUAAUGAAUUGAUCCGUUAUGUGGCUGAAGGUAAUGAUGCUCCAACCGAAGCUUGGAAGAUGAAGAAGUAUCGUUUUGGGUUGAGAGCUGAUAUUGCACAUGAUGUCUCAAUGCAACAAAGUGCCAACCUUGGAGAUUUGAUUCAGAAGAGUUAUCAUGCAGAGGCUGGUCUUAGUGAUAUUCGGAAGGAAAGAGGUGAAGCCUACAAUAGAAAGAAAGAUUCUGGGAAGUUUAACUCGCAACUGAAGCCAAAGGGUUCUCCGAGUAAAGGAAAGCAACACCAUGCUGGAACAUUUAUUAGCAUAUUAUUAUGUUAUGAAUAGAUUUAAGUUGUUGUCACUUGCCUAUGAAUUCUUCUAUUCAGCACCUGCGUGUGCAUUCAAACUCUUUAUGUAUUGUAACCUUAAUGAACCUGUUAUCAGUUAUGCAUGUAAACAUUAUAUUCUAGAUUAAUUAAUGUGGGAUGUUACAGCUCUCAUGAAAA